UACGGGGGGGGCAAGCGUUGUUCGGAAUUACUGGGCGUAAAGGGCGCGUAGGCGGCCUGCUAAGUCACACGUGAAAUCCCUCGGCUCAACCGGGGAACUGCGUGUGAUACUGGCGGGCUUGAAUUCGGGAGAGGGAUGUGGAAUUCCAGGUGUAGCGGUGAAAUGCGUAGAUAUCUGGAGGAACACCGGUGGCGAAGGCGGCAUCCUGGACCAAUACUGACGCUGAGGAGCGAAAGCCAGGGGAGCAAACGGG
rnacentral:rRNA from 1 species